rnacentral:lncRNA from 1 species
UUUCUCCACACUUUGAUUCUGAACUUGGCUUGUUCUGGCUGUUGAAUUACUGUGUCAGAAUCCAUGAGUACAGAGGUUUGAAAUUCACUUGCAAAUUGGCAUUUCCUCUCCUGAAGCUUUUGGAACCCAGCUAUGAGGCAACUAGCACUGCUGUGGAAUUGUUCAUUCUUGAGGAACUCAGGAGAAGACACAAAGAGGCUAGAGACCGGGCUCUGUCCAGGUCAUAGCCCCUCACAGAGCAAGGACAUGGCAAGAUGUAAAGAGCAUAGGAAGGUCUUGAGUGGGGACAAAAAAAAUGUGCCAUCAAUAUUAAAAUCACACCAAGAGAACAUCCCCUUGGCUGGAGACAAUUCAAAGAGCCUCCCCUGGGAGAGGUCAUCCUAUCAUGGUCCUUGGUGGGAAAUGGCUGAAGAUAAACCUUCAUGGAGUCCAAAGUACAGGAAGGAAGUGACAAAGGACAGAAAGGAAGCAGAAGACACUGAGAAUCUACACCAAGGGAAGGGGCCCCAGGAACUGGAGGAAGGAGCAGAAAUGGAAGGAUCAAGGUACCACAAAGCCACCAUGUCACCUGGGAGCAGGAGAGUGGUCCUCACUCAGUGCGGCCCACACUGAACUGCACAAGAGUCUGUGGAUGAGUGUGGUGGAAAACGCAUCGAUGGGCUUGUGCUGAUCAUAAGCCUGAAUUAUUAUCACUCUUCGUGUGGGUGGCAGUAGCAUUUCUGCCGUGAAGUUCUUCCUCCUGCCUUCUCUCCUCCAGACAAACCCAGCCCCUUUGUGACUCCUCCCACCAGCUCUUAUGAUGCCAUCAUUGGUUUGAUACUGAGCGGCGACUUGUCCCUCUUCUCAUGGUAACACCACCACACACAUGCCAUCCUCCAGCCGCAGCCUCCAGACGGUCUCCUGCUAGACAGUUUCUCGGGUCUGGGGUGCAUGCCAUUGAGUGGAGGUGGGGGUGAGGGGCUCUCCCUUCCUCCUCCCAACCCUGCUCCUCCUGUCAUCUCCAAGGGAGAGUGAGAAUUGGGAUUCAGCUAAUCCUAGAGCAACCUCCUCUCAGUCCUUGCUUUGGGAAAAGGUUCUAGGAGCAGAGAAGGGCUGCUUGUUGGAUUGGCCCAGUUGUAUGGAAUGAGACAAGUAAUUUCUGAAGUGAUAAGAGAGGUGCAUGG